UCCCACGUGGUGGAGAACACGGCCUU
rnacentral:piRNA from 1 species